GAUGAACGCUGGCGGCGUGCUUAACACAUGCAAGUCGAACGGUGAAGCCAAGCUUGCUUGGUGGAUCAGUGGCGAACGGGUGAGUAACACGUGAGCAACCUGCCCUGGACUCUGGGAUAAGCGCUGGAAACGGCGUCUAAUACUGGAUAUGAGCUCUCAUCGCAUGGUGGGGGUUGGAAAGAUUUUUCGGUCUGGGAUGGGCUCGCGGCCUAUCAGCUUGUUGGUGAGGUAAUGGCUCACCAAGGCGUCGACGGGUAGCCGGCCUGAGAGGGUGACCGGCCACACUGGGACUGAGACACGGCCCAGACUCCUACGGGAGGCAGCAGUGGGGAAUAUUGCACAAUGGGCGGAAGCCUGAUGCAGCAACGCCGCGUGAGGGAUGACGGCCUUCGGGUUGUAAACCUCUUUUAGCAGGGAAGAAGCGAGAGUGACGGUACCUGCAGAAAAAGCGCCGGCUAACUACGUGCCAGCAGCCGCGGUAAUACGUAGGGCGCAAGCGUUAUCCGGAAUUAUUGGGCGUAAAGAGCUCGUAGGCGGUUUGUCGCGUCUGCUGUGAAAUCCCGAGGCUCAACCUCGGGCCUGCAGUGGGUACGGGCAGACUAGAGUGCGGUAGGGGAGAUUGGAAUUCCUGGUGUAGCGGUGGAAUGCGCAGAUAUCAGGAGGAACACCGAUGGCGAAGGCAGAUCUCUGGGCCGUAACUGACGCUGAGGAGCGAAAGGGUGGGGAGCAAACAGGCUUAGAUACCCUGGUAGUCCACCCCGUAAACGUUGGGAACUAGUUGUGGGGACCAUUCCACGGUUUCCGUGACGCAGCUAACGCAUUAAGUUCCCCGCCUGGGGAGUACGGCCGCAAGGCUAAAACUCAAAGGAAUUGACGGGGACCCGCACAAGCGGCGGAGCAUGCGGAUUAAUUCGAUGCAACGCGAAGAACCUUACCAAGGCUUGACAUACGCCAGAACACCGUAGAAAUACGGGACUCUUUGGACACUGGUGAACAGGUGGUGCAUGGUUGUCGUCAGCUCGUGUCGUGAGAUGUUGGGUUAAGUCCCGCAACGAGCGCAACCCUCGUUCUAUGUUGCCAGCACGUAAUGGUGGGAACUCAUGGGAUACUGCCGGGGUCAACUCGGAGGAAGGUGGGGAUGACGUCAAAUCAUCAUGCCCCUUAUGUCUUGGGCUUCACGCAUGCUACAAUGGCCGGUACAAAGGGCUGCAAUACCGUGAGGUGGAGCGAAUCCCAAAAAGCCGGUCCCAGUUCGGAUUGAGGUCUGCAACUCGACCUCAUGAAGUCGGAGUCGCUAGUAAUCGCAGAUCAGCAACGCUGCGGUGAAUACGUUCCCGGGUC
rnacentral:rRNA from 1 species